GUUAGUCUUAAUUCAGAAGGGGUAUUAUUUUGUUUUAAAAUGAGUAAAGUUAAAUGAUCAUGCGUGAACUUAUUCCUUGUUUUUAUAUGUCGAGUGAAAGCACAACAUUUCUAUAACUUCUAUUAUUUGUGUCGUUUGACUUAUCUUCCAAAUAUGCCUCGAUGCAUGUCGUUGUGACUUAAUUAUAUUUGUAUCAUUGGUGGGAUAUUUAUUUAACUUCUUUGCAAUUUUAUUUUUAAAGCAUAAUAGUUUUACUACUUCAUUGCACUUUUUAUCUCUCUGUUAUAUAUCCAACUUUACAUAUUUAUUCAUCAGAGUUUAUAGAUUUAAUCCAAUUUGAAAAAAACAAACUAAAUUAAAUACCUAUAUUGCUCAAUUAAACUACUACUCAUAUGACCAGUACAUGAUGUUUCCAAGUGGACAUAUUACAUGUUAAUGUUUGUAGACCUCAUUUCUAAGAGAAAAUGACUGUCAUUAUAUUGCAGAGGAUGAUGUUCACACUAAAGAAAAAGUUUACUAUGGUUUACACCAGCAUGGAGCCUGGAUUUUUCAUGAUGCUACAGAGGAUGAGAUACGUGAUAAGAAUGGACCUUGGGCCUAACUCAACCCCAAAAGCUAGCUUAUGAGGUGAGGAUUGCCCAAGCCAUAUAAGGAGACCAAGGACCUCAAAUCCCUCCGAUGUGGGACAACUCAACAAUACGUGAGAUCAAAAAGCAAAGCCCAAACGUGAAUGAGCUCCAACAUUUAAAUGAAGAAAGCAAUGCCAACAGUCAUUUUCAAGAUAAUUUGCUUUACAAACCUUACUUCUUAGAAAAGGAUUUGGAGAAAGGAAGAGUCAUCAACUUUCCCUCUUUGAAAAAUAAAAACGAAGCACCCUUUUUGCCUCGCCAAUAUGUGGAAUCGAUUCCCUUCUCAUCGAAAAAACUCCCAGAACUAAAAAAUAAAAAUGAAGCACCCUUUUUGCCUCGUCAAUAUGUGGAAUCGAUUCCUUUCUCGUCGAAAAAACUCCCAGAAUUCUAAACCAUUUCUCAAUAGAUAGUAGCUC
rnacentral:lncRNA from 1 species